UACGAAGGUCCCAAGCGUUGUUCAGAAUCACUGGGCGUAAAGGGAGCGUAGGCGGCGCAGUAAGUCGGAUGUGAAAUCCCGGGGCUCAACCCCGGAACUGCAUCCGAUACUGCCGUGCUGGAGUAAUGGAGGGGUAGCUGGAAUUCUCGGUGUAGCAGUGAAAUGCGUAGAUAUCGAGAGGAACACUCGUGGCGAAAGCGAGCUACUGGACAUUUACUGACGCUGAGGCUCGAAGGCUAGGGGAGCGAAAGGG
rnacentral:misc_RNA from 1 species